rnacentral:tRNA from 2 species
AAGAUAUUAGUAAAACAAUUACGUAACUUUGUCAAAGUUAAUUUACAGGUUCAAUUCCUGUAUAUCUUU